GGUUAAGCGACUAAGCGUACACGGUGGAUGCCCUGGCAGUCAGAGGCGAUGAAGGACGUGCUAAUCUGCGAUAAGCGUCGGUGAGGUGAUAUGAACCGUUAUAACCGGCGAUUUCCGAAUGGGGAAACCCAGUGUGUUUCGACACACUAUCAUUAACUGAAUCCAUAGGUUAAUGAGGCGAACCGGGGGAACUGAAACAUCUAAGUACCCCGAGGAAAAGAAAUCAACCGAGAUUCCCCCAGUAGCGGCGAGCGAACGGGGAGGAGCCCAGAGCCUGAAUCAGUGUGUGUGUUAGUGGAAGCGUCUGGAAAGGCGCGCGAUACAGGGUGACAGCCCCGUACACAAAAAUGCACAUAUUGUGAGCUCGAUGAGUAGGGCGGGACACGUGGUAUCCUGUCUGAAUAUGGGGGGACCAUCCUCCAAGGCUAAAUACUCCUGACUGACCGAUAGUGAACCAGUACCGUGAGGGAAAGGCGAAAAGAACCCCGGCGAGGGGAGUGAAAAAGAACCUGAAACCGUGUACGUACAAGCAGUGGGAGCCUCUUAAUGGGGUGACUGCGUACCUUUUGUAUAAUGGGUCAGCGACUUAUAUUCUGUAGCAAGGUUAACCGAAUAGGGGAGCCGAAGGGAAACCGAGUCUUAACUGGGCGUUAAGUUGCAGGGUAUAGACCCGAAACCCGGUGAUCUAGCCAUGGGCAGGUUGAAGGUUGGGUAACACUAACUGGAGGACCGAACCGACUAAUGUUGAAAAAUUAGCGGAUGACUUGUGGCUGGGGGUGAAAGGCCAAUCAAACCGGGAGAUAGCUGGUUCUCCCCGAAAGCUAUUUAGGUAGCGCCUCGUGAAUUCAUCUCCGGGGGUAGAGCACUGUUUCGGCAAGGGGGUCAUCCCGACUUACCAACCCGAUGCAAACUGCGAAUACCGGAGAAUGUUAUCACGGGAGACACACGGCGGGUGCUAACGUCCGUCGUGAAGAGGGAAACAACCCAGACCGCCAGCUAAGGUCCCAAAGUCAUGGUUAAGUGGGAAACGAUGUGGGAAGGCCCAGACAGCCAGGAUGUUGGCUUAGAAGCAGCCAUCAUUUAAAGAAAGCGUAAUAGCUCACUGGUCGAGUC
rnacentral:rRNA from 1 species